UGACUAAACAAGUUCAAGAGUCGGUGAACUCAAGGUGCUUCCAUAGCCUAGACAGCUCAUAGCAAGAGUCUCGGGUGAUUGCUGACGUCAUAAAUAAGAGUGUCAAUUGUUAAAUCAACAAUGGGAGUCACUGGGUACAUGCUCCCCAUGUAGGAUCUCUGUCCUUAAUGUGUUUUACUAUGAAACUUAAAAACAACACUACUAGUCGAACAAUACCCUAUACCUUGUGCGGUUGUGUGAGUGCAGCCUGUUGAAAUCCUUGCUUAGUAUAUACUAAGUUGAUCUUCAGUAUAUGAAGAUGUAAACCUUGCAGCCCUGCCAACAUUUUCUAAUAUCUACAUGUCAAAUGCAGAUUACAAGCCCCCUGGGCUGGAUUCACACUGGCCUGUUGGCUUCUCACAGAACCUUACACAGCCUUGUCACUAGCUUGAUGUUAAAGCAAAUAAUGUUAGCAUCCUUAGCAAGGUCUUUUGCGCUGAAAACGGAGGAAAUCCAACGACAAUAACCAUGCUGAGAAUAAAAUCAGUCACUGCUGUAAUUACUGGGUCAGAGGCAGACCUGAUGCUGUUUUCUCCUCUGAGAGUACAUCUGUCAAUAGUUGAUGGAGCUUUCUUGGGUAAAUGAACUGUUUCUUGGGACAUUAUAAAUCAUAUUUGGAAUCAAGUUUAUUUUCAAGCUGCUUUUAAAGUCUCGAUGCUGUGCUAACUGAAUAGAAAAUGCUAAAUGUUUGAGGGAGUAGUGCAAGCUCUCCAGUGCGAACGGCAUGAUCAGGACUUAAGAAAACAAAUGGAAUUUAUAUCCACCGAGUACACAAGAACACGAUUCUGUUUUUUCAGAAAACUGUGUGGGGUUGGAGAGGACCUUCCAGAAGGAAACUCCCCAGUUAUCUCCUGUGUGCUGAGCGCCAGGAUCUGUGCUGAGCUUGAGCCUCACAACAGAAUCACCUGGCAGGCGUUGCUAUACCUCUUCUAAAGAUGAAGAAACUGAGGCCUAGGAAAGCUGGUAACCCCUUCAGUGCACAUAGUGAUCAAGUGGUAGAGCUGAAAUUGGAACAGGUCGGGUUGUGAAGUUCAUGCUGUUCUCACUCCACCAAAAAUCAGGCACUUUCUGUGACAUGGUCUUCCUUCUGUAUUUGGUGGUGUCUUGUUCUUCAUGGAUCUGGUGUUGAGACUGAGCCAAGGACUCGUUAUCAUCAAGCCCUUACAGGUUGCUCAGUUCUGCUCUAACCAGUGCAAGCACUACCUGUAUCCAUUUUUUUUUUUUUUUUUUUUUAGAGAGGGCUUUGACAUGAAAUUUUAGCAAGGUUCUGCUGCCAAAAGAAGUUAAGAAACUUUAAUCAAGAUUUAUUUUAAAAAAUUAUUAUAAAAUAAGGUUAUUAGAAUAUGUAAGAACAUGACAUGACCAAUCUGUAAAAAAUGGAAAAUAUUUUUCUUCUUUCUCUGCUUCAAAAGGUACUCCCAAAGAAUAUUCUAGAAUGGCCUUAUUCUAACCAUUAAGAGAUAACCUCGGGGCCGGUGCUGUGGCGCAGCAGGUUAUUGCCCUGGCCUGAAGCGCCGGCAUCCCAUAUGGGCACCAGUUCUGGUCUCAGCUGUUCUACUUCCAGCGGAUGGAAGACACUCCCCCACCCCCCCCAAGCCUCUCCUCUCUGUGUAGUUCUGACUCUCAAAUGAAUAAAUAAAUCUUUUUUUUUUUUUUAAAGAGAUAGCCUCAGACUCAGAGUCCUAGGCUUUCAUUAUUUUGUUAGACAUUAACCUGCCCUUCUGCAGUUUCCACAUCUAUAGGCUGGAUCUGCUAACCUCAGAUGCUUGUUGAGAUGAUCAAAGGAGACCAAAGAUCACAAACCAGUUCAAAAAAGAAAGAAUAAGGCUGAAAUAUAAGGCAUUGCCACUAUCUGGACUGCAUUUUCUACAUUUUAGGAAAUUGAGAAAUCAUGGAUAAUUGAUCUGAACAUUAUAGUUAAGAUUUCAAAGGCAAAAUAUUAAUAGUUGAGGCUAUUUUAGCAUAGGACAGAUGGGGAUGUAAAAGGCAUGAGACCAUUUUAAAAGCUCUUUCCAAACAAUUAUUUUAGAGACAAUAGCUUAUCAAGUUAAUAAUAUCUGCCCUUGAGUUUUAGUAUAAUAUUGGCUGCUAUUCAAAUGAGAAGAUUUUUGCUUCUUUUUUUUUUCCCCUCUCCUAAAAUAUAUGCUUGAUUUGAAAGGAUGAAAUGGCUGAUGUGAUAUCUGACUCGUGCUGAUUGGGGUAAGACAUUGUUUCCUUAAUGCCGCUCUCCUUGUCAUUCUUUCUUCCUUUCCCUCCUGUACUCGCAUGUUUAUUCCUUCCCUUCUAGAAAACAUAAAACACCAACUACGUACACACAUGAAUACAAUGGCUGUUUCAAAAAGUGUCAGUCCAACACCUAAAUCAAUAACACGUCACUGAGAUAUGAACUAUGGCCAGAAGUCUGCUUUCACCCCACAGACACCAUUGUAAACAUCAUGGGAGCCCAAAGGAUAGAAGGCUCAAUCCUGCCUGGAGACAAUCAAAAAGAUGUCAUGGCACACCAAACUACUCAGCCUAUGGAAAGUGCUUCCAGGAGCCCCUUGGUCUGUUCAUUGAGGGAUGAGGAGCCAUUGACUUCUAAUCAAAGACAGAGAACAAAUCAAUGGGUGGAUGUCCUAUAUCUUGAAUUGAUGUGAUUAAGGGCUCCACCACUCCAUUUCUGGGAAUCAGGACAAGAUUGGCUGUAGAAAGCUGAAACCAUGGAAAGUGAAGCUGUGAAUAAAAGGGAGAACUAAUCUUCAGUCUCUGCAGUGGCGCAUCUUGCUCCUGGAUGCAGAAUGUGGCCAAAGUGGAUUGGAGGCUUCGCCACUGGUGGGGUGACUGUCAUGCGGUAAAAUGUCCCUUCCUCCCAUGCUGCACAGGCUCCAGUUUUUGCUCUCAGUCCUCACUAUGUAUCGUGGACUUCACUCUUCAUAUUAGAUCUGUUUACUGCAUGGCCUUCAGAUAUGAUGCUACGGAUGUCUCUGUGGUUCAAGCACCUGCUUUCCUUUUUCCCCUUGGAGGGGACACGGACACAAUUUCAUUUAUGAAGCAGCUGGCAUCUCAAAUUCUGCCUUAAGUCACCUUAACCCAAUUGAAGGCUUUCUUGUCCUCAUAGCUUUUAUAGAUCAGCUGCAUAUGUCUUGCCUAGCCAUCAAAUCUAAUAAGAGCAGACAGCCUUGUCUCUCUGAUGGUUCCUGUGUAAUCAUGCCGCAUCCAUGUGUCAUCUAACACAGAACAUUUUGUCAGGUUAGGAAAGUGAAAUUCAUGAGCUUAAAAUAGAGGACAUCCUCCAGAGGGUUGCAGCCAUGCCAGAGUUACACUUUCCACAAAAGGGACAUCAGAAAAGCUGCCUCACUGGUUGGAACAACAGAGCAUGCAUUGUCGACACCCUCAGAGGCUAUGUCUAAGACCACUGGUCCAUCUGGCACUGACAUCAAAAUCUUGACCACCCAUUAACACAACGCCUGGACUGAACAUUGUCCUUUGGCUGAACCCUCCAAAACUGUGCUUGCUGCUGUUGCUUUAGACUCAAGACUGUCAUAUCAGCUCUUUUUGUUGUUGCACUAGCUUUGUUUGGUUCAAAUGCUACAGUGUAGCACUGGUAAGUGAAAAAUUAAGGAAGAACAAGCCAAAAGAUAAAGCAUGUGCCGGAAGCCACAGCCUUGCAUAAUUAUCACGAGGAUAUUAACUCUCUAAAAAGAGGGAUUUUCAAGUGUUAAAAAGAUGCUAUGUUGGGAUAUGGCAUUACCUCUUGCCAGGAUGUAGCUGACUUUGAAUAAGGAUAAAGCUAAAAGAAUAGUUAUGAAAUUGUAUUUUCUACUUUGUCCUCCAGAAAAACAUGUCUGCAAUUAAAACUUCUCAUUAACAAGUUGAAUUGUAACAUACAGAUUUAUA